rnacentral:rRNA from 1 species
UAAGGAAUAUUGGACAAUGGAGGCAACUCUGAUCCAGCCAUGCCGCGUGAAGGAAUAAGGCCCUAUGGGUUGUAAACUCCUUUUAGACGGGACAAAACCCCUUUACUUGUAAAGGGUUGAUGGUACUGUCAGAAUAAGCAUCGGCUAACUUCGUGCCAGCAGCCGCGGUAAUACGAAGGAUGCAAGCGUUAUCCGGAAUUAUUGGGUUUAAAGGGUGCGUAGGCGGACUAAUAAGUCAGUGGUGAAAGCCUGCAGCUUAACUGCAGAAUUGCCAUUGAUACUGUUAGUCUUGAGUACAGUUGAGGUAGGCGGAAUGUGUCAUGUAGCGGUGAAAUGCUUAGAUAUGACACAGAACACCGAUUGCGAAGGCAGCUUGCUAAGCUGUAACUGACGCUGAGGCACGAAAGCGUGGGGAGCAAACA